GGGAGAGUUGGAAAAACGCAGGAG
rnacentral:piRNA from 1 species